UACGAAGGGGGCUAGCGUUGUUCGGAAUUACUGGGCGUAAAGGGCUCGUAGGCGGCCAACUAAGUCAGACGUGAAAUCCCUCGGCUUAACCGGGGAACUGCGUCUGAUACUGGAUGGCUUGAGAUUGGGAGAGGGAUGCGGAAUUCCAGGUGUAGCGGUGAAAUGCGUAGAUAUCUGGAGGAACACCGGUGGCGAAGGCGGCAUCCUGGACCAACACUGACGCUGAGGAGCGAAAGCCAGGGAGCAAAGCGGG
rnacentral:rRNA from 1 species